GACACCCUCCUUCAGCACAAAAUUGUGAAGCCAAGAUUUCAGAACACAAAACCAUGGUGACAACAAUCUCACCCUUGCCAAUUUUACUCAUCCUAUUAUCAUUUUCAUUGUCAGCUUCAGCUUUAAUUCAAGAAAAUUUUGUCCAAUGUCUCAACUUGAACUCAGACAAAACAUUCCCAUUUCAAACAACAAUUUUCACUCCCAAAGAUGCUUCAUUCUCCACCAUCCUUGAUUCCUCUGCACAGAACCUCAGGUGUUUGCUACCUUCAUCUCCAAAACCUGAGUUUAUAUUCACACCCUCUCGCGAUUCCCAUGUCCAAGCAGCAGUAAUCUGCUCCAAGAAGCUUGGCAUUCAUCUGAGAGUGCGAAGCGGCGGCCAUGACUAUGAGGGAGUCUCAUAUGUUUCUGAAAUUGAGACCCCUUUCAUAGUUGUUGAUCUUGUCAAGCUUCGCGGCAUCAAUGUUGAUAUCAAAUCCAACACUGCUUGGAUUCAAGCUGGUGCCACCAUUGGUGAAGUGUACUACAGAAUAUAUGAGAAAAGCUCAGUUCUUGGGUUCCCUGCAGGGCUUUGCACAAGCCUUGGUGUUGGUGGACACAUCACAGGAGGUGCAUAUGGAACCAUGAUGAGAAAGUAUGGCCUUGGUGCUGAUAAUGUUCUAGAUGCUCAAAUUGUUGAUGCCAAUGGCAGAAUUCUUGACAGGGAAGCCAUGGGGGAAGAGCUUUUUUGGGCUAUCAGAGGAGGUGGUGGUGGAAGCUUUGGUAUCCUUCUUUGGUGGAAGAUAAAGCUGGUCCCUGUGCCACCAACUGUAACAGUUUUUACUGUAACUAAGACCCUAGAGCAAGGUGCAACCAAGCUUCUAUAUAGAUGGCAGGAAGUGGCUCCCUAUAUUGAUGAGAAUCUCUUUGUGAGAGUGAUCAUUCAACCAGCUAGUGGUGGAAACAAAACUCAGAGAACUAUCACAACUUCUUACAAUGCUGUCUUCCUUGGCGAGGCCAGAACACUCCUCCAAGUCAUGAAGACAAGCUUUCCUGAACUGGGUUUAACAAGGAAGGAUUGCAUUGAAACUAGCUGGAUCAAAUCAGUGCUCUAUAUUGCAGGCUAUCCAAGUAACACACCUACUGAAGUUCUUCUCAAAGGAAAACCAACAUUCAAAAACUUCUUCAAAGCCAAAUCAGAUUUUGUGACAGAACCCAUACCAGAAAGUGGUCUUGAAGGAUUGUGGCAAAGAUUGCUGGUGGAAGAUAUCCCCUUGAUGAUUUGGAAUCCAUAUGGUGGGAAAAUGAGCGAGUUUUCAGAAUCUGAUAGUCCAUUUCCUCAUAGAAAUGGAACACUGUUCAAGAUCCAGUACCUAUCUAUAUGGCAAGAGGGAGACAAGAAUGCUGCAAAUCAUAUAGAUUGGAUUAGGAAGCUAUACAACUACAUGACUCCUUAUGUGUCUAGCUUCCCAAGGGGAGCAUAUGUGAAUUACAGGGAUCUUGAUUUGGGAAUCAACUCCAAGAACAGCACAAGCUACAUACAAGCAAGUGCUUGGGGUUAUAGGUAUUACAAGGAUAACUUCAACAGGUUGGUGAAGAUUAAGACCAGAGUGGAUCCUGAAAAUGUUUUCAGGCAUGAGCAGAGCAUUCCACCACUUCCAAUCUAAAUGUAAAAGACAACAAAAAGGUGAAUAAGGAACUGUGCUGCUAGAAUCAUUAGACCUAGUAUCUAUAAAUUUGUGAAAGGGAUGAUUAGCUAGCUUAGAGCUAUAAGGAUGGUCUUUUUAAUGUUGUAAGAUACUGAUUGAGGGCCUAAUUGGUUGCUGUGUUUGUGAUUUGUGUGUGUGAAUUAAGUGCCUAAUUGUUUGCAAAUGUAGUUUCUCAAGCAAAAACUGUAAUAGAACUAGUGGUCUUUCUGUAAGGAUAUGAUUCUAAAGUAAAGUGUCUCACAUGAAAAUUCAUGGAGUUUAGCAGCC